UUCGAGCGUCAUUAUAACCACUCAAGCCUUCGCUUGGUCUUGGGGUACGCGGUCCCGCGGCUCCUAAAAUCAGUGGCGGUGCCUGUCGGCUCUACGCGUAGUAAUACUCCUCGCGAUUGAGUCCGGUGGGCCACCUGCCAGCAACCCCCAAAUUUUUACAGGUUGACCUCGGAUCAGGUAGGGAUACCCGCUGAACUUAA
rnacentral:misc_RNA from 1 species